GUGUGGAGAUAUUUGAAGAAGAUGGGUG
rnacentral:piRNA from 1 species